rnacentral:rRNA from 1 species
GAUGAACGCUGGCGGCGUGCUUAACACAUGCAAGUCGAACGGGAAUUAUUUUAUUGAAACUUCGGUCGAUUUAAUUUAAUUCUAGUGGCGGACGGGUGAGUAACGCGUGGGUAACCUGCCUUAUACAGGGGGAUAACAGUCAGAAAUGGCUGCUAAUACCGCAUAAGCGCGCAGAGCUGCAUGGCUCAGUGUGAAAAACUCCGGUGGUAUAAGAUGGACCCGCGUUGGAUUAGCUGGUUGGUGGGGUAACGGCCCACCAAGGCGACGAUCCAUAGCCGGCCUGAGAGGGUGAGCGGCCACAUUGGGACUGAGACACGGCCCAGACUCCUACGGGAGGCAGCAGUGGGGAAUAUUGCACAAUGGGGGAAACCCUGAUGCAGCGACGCCGCGUGAAGGAAGAAGUAUCUCGGUAUGUAAACUUCUAUCAGCAGGGAAGAUAGUGACGGUACCUGACUAAGAAGCCCCGGCUAACUACGUG